rnacentral:misc_RNA from 1 species
GAUGAAGAACGUAGCGAAAUGCGAUAAGUAAUGUGAAUUGCAGAAUUCAGUGAAUCAUCGAAUCUUUGAACGCACAUUGCGCCCGCCAGUAUUCUGGCGGGCAUGCCUGUUCGAGCGUCAUUUCAACCAUCAAGCCCCAGGCUUGUGUUGGAGCCCUGCGGCUGCCGCAGCCUCCCAAAACCAGUGGCGGGCUCGCUAUCACACCGAGUGCAGUAGUUUACUCUUCGCUCAGGGCGUGUGGCGGGUGCUAGCCGUGAAACCCCCAACUUCUCAAGGUUGACCUCGGAUCAGGUAGGAAUACCCGCUGAACUUAAGCUUAUCAAUAAGCGGAGGA